AACGAACGCUGGCGGCGUGCCUAACACAUGCAAGUCGAGCGCGAAAGUCCCUUCGGGGGCUAGUAGAGCGGCGGACGGGUGAGUAAUACAUGGGUAAUCUGCCCUCGAGUUUGGGAUAACCCUGCGAAAGCGGGGCUAAUACCGGAUAAGACCACGCAGCUCAGGCUACGUGGUAAAAGAUGGUCUGUAUUCGUACAAGCUAUCACUUGAGGAUGAGCCCACGGCCUAUCAGCUUGUUGGUGAGGUAAGAGCUCACCAAGGCGAUGACGGGUAGCUGGUCUGAGAGGACGACCAGCCACACUGGGACUGAGACACGGCCCAGACACCUACGGGAGGCAG
rnacentral:rRNA from 1 species